UCUUCGGAGAGUUUGAUCAUGGCUCAGGACGAACGCUGGCGGCGUGCCUAAAACAUGCAAGUCGAACGAGGUCUUCGGACCUAGUGGCGAACGGCGGAGUAAUACAUGAGCAACGUGCCCACAAGAUCGGGACAAACGCAGAAAUGCCAUAAAUACCGAAUGUGAUUGCGAGGGGGCAUCCCCGUGCAAUUAAAUGGUUUUUCGCUUGUGGAGCGGCUCAUGACACAUCAGCUAGUUGGUGGGGUAAAGGCCUACCAAGGCUACGACGUGUAGGGGGUCUGAGAGGAUGAUCCCCCCGAGUGGGACUGAGACACGGCCCACACACCUACGGGUGGCAGCAGUUGGGAAUCUUGCACAAUGGGGGAAACCCUGAUGCAGCGACGCCGCGU
rnacentral:rRNA from 1 species